AUUGAACGCUGGCGGAAUGCUUUACACAUGCAAGUCGAGCGGCAGCGCGGCCUUCGGGCUGGCGGCGAGCGGCGAACGGGUGAGUAAUGCAUCGGAACAUGCCCAGUCGUGGGGGAUAACACUUCGAAAGAAGUGCUAAUACCGCAUACGUCCUGAGGGGGAAAGCGGGGGAUCGCAAGACCUCGCGCGAUUGGAGUGGCCGAUGUCAGAUUAGCUAGUUGGUGGGGUAAAGGCCUACCAAGGCGACGAUCUGUAGCUGGUCUGAGAGGAUGAUCAGCCACACUGGGACUGAGACACGGCCCAGACUCCUACGGGAGGCAGCAGUGGGGAAUUUUGGACAAUGGGGGCAACCCUGAUCCAGCAAUUCCGCGUGAGUGAAGAAGGCAUUCGGGUUGUAAAGCUCUUUCGGCAGGAACGACACGGUGGGCUCUAACAUAGUCCGCUAAUGACGGUACCUGAAGAAGAAGCACCGGCUAACUACGUG
rnacentral:rRNA from 1 species